UACAGAGGUUGCAAGCGUUAAUCGGAAUUACUGGGCGUAAAGCGCGCGUAGGUGGUUUGUUAAGUUGGAUGUGAAAUCCCUGGGCUCAACCUAGGAACAGCAUACGUGACUGGCAGGCUAGAGUAUCGAAGAGGGGGGUAGAAUUCCACGUGUAGCAGUGAAAUGCGUAGAGAUGUGGAGGAAUACCGAUGGCGAAGGCAGCCCCCUGGUCAGAUACUGACGCUGAGGCACGAAAGCGUGGGGAGCAAACAGG
rnacentral:rRNA from 1 species